CUGAAAGGAGGAGGAGUGGACGUUGUGGGAGAAGGGACAAACUACUUCAAGAGACGGGCGUUUCCGCUUUGUGAAACUACACGAACCAGCAUGCAAUGGUUCACCUUUCGCUACUCUCCUAGCCGUUCAGCUUUUAUGGAAGCUGCGCUGAAGGAGCAAAUAUCGGCGUCCUCGUGAGAAAUGGAAUCUCUUCUAGUUAUUGAGGAUUGCUGAAGCAUGAUGAAAAUAGUAUAGAGUGGCGGCCAACAAUAGCUAUUGCAAAUUACCACUUUCAGCCCCGAAAAGUGGUAAUUUUGCAGUAGCUAUUACCACUUUUGCAAACUAAGGAAUAAAAGUAUGACACGGGGUCUUCUCAGGAGCACAAAAAGUAGAUGAGCAGGUAAAACUGUUCCAGGACUGUACCACUUCAGAUUGCAGGUGUGAUAAUCAGGAAAGAGAGAAAGACCUUCCCACUGACCUCCCUAGCGCAGUGCUGCUGACAUUGCAAUGUGUCCACUCAGAAAUAAGCCACGCUGCCUUCUAGCAGUCUUAUUCCCAGCUCACCUGAAAUAUUCCACUCCAGUAUACCUUCAGGACAGGAAGAACUGGGCAAGAAAACUCCCCCCCCCCGAAAAAAGGGGGGACACAGUUCAUGCAAAUAAAUACCAACCUUGUUAUUGUUAGAUCUGUUCAAAUAUUCUCAGGAAGUAUCAGAAUUGCUCAAAUAAACUAGAAAUAAAGGGUGGUCAUCAAGAGUUAACACUGCAUAUUUAUCAAA